rnacentral:rRNA from 1 species
AAUGAACGCUGGCGGCGCGCCUAAUACAUGCAAGUCGAGCGAGAAGACGUAGCAAUACGUUUGUAAAGCGGCGAACGGGUGAGGAAUACAUGGGUAACCUACCCUCGAGUGGGGAAUAACUAGCCGAAAGGUUAGCUAAUACCGCGUACGCUUCUUGGACUUCGGUUCAGGGAGGAAAGCGAUACCGUGGGUAUCGCGCUCUUGGAUGGGCUCAUGUCCUAUCAGCUUGUUGGUGAGGUAACGGCUCACCAAGGCUUCGACGGGUAGCUGGUCUGAGAGGACGAUCAGCCACACUGGCACUGCGACACGGGCCAGACUCCUACGGGAGGCAGCAGUAAGGAAUAUUGCGCAAUGGGCGAAAGCCUGACGCAGCGACGCCGCGUGGGGGAUGAAGGUCUUCGGAUUGUAAACCCCUUUCGGGAGGGAAGAUGGAAUGGGGUAACCCAUUUGGACGGUACCUCCAGAAGCAGCCACGGCUAACUUCGUGCCACAGCCGCGGUAAUACGAAGGUGGCAAGCGUUUAUUCGGAUUUACUGGGCGUACAGGGAGCGUAGGCGGUUCGGUAAGCCCUCUGUGGAAUCUUCAGGCUUAACCUGGAACAGUCGGAGGGGACUGCUGGGCUAGAGGACGGGAGAGGAGCGCGGAAUUCCCGGUGUAGCGGUGAAAUGCGUAGAGAUCGGGAGGAA